UGCAGCCGCUGAGGUGUCUCCUAUUGGCUACUGGUCACCCGGGGAGCCGCAGGCCCGAGCCCAUGUCCUCCUGGGAAAUGUAGUUUGAGGUCGUUGGAGGCUGUUCUUCCUGGUGGAGGGGGUGGAAUCCAAUACUGACAUUGGCGGAGAGACUCUAGUGAAGACAGGAUUGUGGGAGAUGAAGUCGAGACCGUUCUUUUUAUGUACCCAGAGUUCCUCCCCUCCGCCAGCCCCCUCCCCUGGUUCCUAUUGUCCCCAGAGUUUCGGGUUGAGGACAGUGUUCUGGAUGUUGUAGUUUGAAAUGUGCUGUCUUACAGAAUCGCCCUUCUUGGGAGAUGAAUCCUUGUAGCUGAAUGGAUCAUUAGGAUUGGGUUACUACAAUUUCACUGAUGACAACUUUUUGACUCACAAAUGAAACGAAAGCAAAGAAAGAGGAAUUGCAUUUUGCUCAGAUACUUGCCUAAAAUUUUUUAAAGUGACAUGAAGAAAGAAGAUGAUUUAAUAGACUCAAAAAUGUAUUCAGCAAACUGCUUUGUGCAAGGCCCUGGACUGGCCCAAUUGCUACAGAAUUGGAAAAUAGUCCUUCCUCUGAAGUACCUCAUGAUCUAAGAAGAGAGAUAGACUAUACAAUGUACAGAGUACUCUAAAAGGUUCUAGAUAGGGUUCUGUAGGACCAUAGAAGAGGAAGAACUCAUUCCAUUUCUGGAGAAAGCAAUGCUUGAAUGAUGAGCCUUGGAGAACCGCCAUCUGAUACGAAGAGCUGACUCACUGGAAAAGACCCUGAUGCUGGGAAAGAUUGAAG